UGUUGGACCACGAACGGUGUCGGU
rnacentral:siRNA from 1 species